rnacentral:rRNA from 1 species
AAUCAACGCUGGCGGCGUGCCUAACACAUGCAAGUCGAACGAGAAAGUGGCAGCAAUGCCAUGAGUACAGUGGCGCACGGGUGAGUAACACGUGACUAACCUACCCAGGAGUGGGGAAUAACUUCGGGAAACCGAGGCUAAUACCGCAUAACACCUACGGGUCAAAGGAGCAAUUCGCUUCUGGAGGGGGUCGCGGCCGAUUAGUUAGUUGGCAGGGUAAUGGCCUACCAAGACGAUGAUCGGUAUCCGGCCUGAGAGGGCGCACGGACACACUGGAACUGAAACACGGUCCAGACUCCUACGGGAGGCAGCAGUGGGGAAUUUUGCGCAAUGGGGGAAACCCUGACGCAGCAACGCCGCGUGGAGGAUGAAGUCCUUC